rnacentral:misc_RNA from 1 species
AGGUGGUACACACGCAUAGGGCUUCCACUGAAAACCAUCCCAAACAUUCCUUCCUGCUUUUGAAACCAGUUUUUCAAGAAAAGGGUGUUUUUAUUUUUCUUUCUUUUCAUCAACUAUAUAAUAGUUCUAUCCAUCUUCAGUUUCAUCCAUGGAUACCGCUCAGUGGCCACAGGAGAUAGUGGUGAAACCAAUAGAAGAGAUAAUCACAAAUACAUGCCCAAAGCCUGCAACUUUGGAGAGGAAAGCAAGACCUCAAAAAGAGCAGGCCUUGAACUGUCCAAGGUGCAAUUCAACAAACACCAAGUUCUGUUACUAUAACAACUACAGUCU